rnacentral:lncRNA from 1 species
UCUCACUGUAUUUGUUGAGGAAAUGUAAUAUGGAGCUAUGAGUGAAAUAAACCCUUUGCUCCCCAAAUUGCUUUUGUUAUGUUGUUUCAUCACAGCAAUCAUAACCCUAAGACAGGGGUAUUAGAAUUGCUCCUGACCAGUUCACUUCCUGUUCCUAAUGUUUAGUGGCAAGGAAUGAAUGUUCUGGACCUGUCCUGCCCCUCCAAUUCUUGUGAGAGAACACUUCCAAGUAAAUGGCAUUGGUGCUCUCAUUGAGGUUUCCUGGGUGCUAAGGCUUCAUCUGAUUGAAUACCCACUGUUCUUGGGGCCUUCCUGCCUUACUAUAUCAGGUUUUUGGAGCUGAACUGCUUUACAUAUGACUCAUGCUCUCUUUGUUCGUAGAGAUAUUGAUCACACAAGGAAGGACUAUUUCUAGGUAAAUGGAAGCUAUGGCUUUGUCCUGAGAAAAUUCAUGUGGAAACUUAAUUCCUG